AAACAGUAAGCACAAUAUUAUGCAUAUCGAUUUCGACUCGAUAGGAGCGGAACCCGCGUUGUUUU
rnacentral:tRNA from 1 species